AAUCUUCUUCCUCUUGUGCAACAAUAAUUGAUAUCUAGAGCUCCGGUUCAGAUCCACGAGAAACACGAGUCAACGUGAGUUGAAAUCCGAAAUCGUAACAGAAAUGAUUUCGUGAUUCUAAGGGAUUGGGAAACACGAGUGUUUGGUGAGAUCUGAGUGAAUUCCUGCACAAGAUCAAAGAUGAAUGGUGAAAACAUUAGUUUGAACACGAAGCUUCCAGUCUUUGAUAGAAAGAAUUGAACUCGAUGGAUGAUUCAGAUGCGUGUGUUGUUUGGUGCUCAAGAUGUUCUUGAUCUUGUUAAUGAUGGUUAUGCAUUUGUUGUAGCAGAUAUAACUGAAGCACAAAGGAACAUGUAUAGAGAGUUGAGAAAGAAGGAUCAUAAAGCUCUGUUUUAUAUCCAUCAAUGUGUGAAUUUGAAUGUGUUUGAAAAGAUCGCUAAUUCAGCAACAAUGAAGGUUGCGUGAGACAUACCGAUAUGUUGCUAUGAAUGUGAUGCAUCAGUGAAGAAGGUGAAUCUCCAGUCUCUAUGUAAGUCGUAUGAAAAUUUCAACAUGAAGAACAAUGAGAACGUACCAAAUUACAUCUCCGUAGUGAUUCUGAUCACAAAUAAGAUAAAAUCUUGUGGAGAGUCUUCUCUCUGAACAAGUAAUCAUUGAGAAGGUAUUGAGAUCAAUUACUCCUCAGUUUGAUUACAUUGUUGUAGCAACUGAACAUUCUAAGGAUCUGAGCACCAUGAGAAUUGAAGAGUUGCAAAUCAGUCUAGAGGCACAAGAAUUGCAUCUAACUGAGAGAACCUCUAAAAGGGAGGUAGAGCAGGCUCUAAAGGCGUGUUCUUGUAAGAAGAAUCAAAACCAAUCUUGGUCAGAGACAAAGAAAAGACAUGGUGAUGGUUAUCAGACGUCAGAAGUCUCCAACUCUGAUGAGAAAAAAUAUCAAAAGGAAAAGGAGAAGUUUGUCAAGAAGAAAGUUCAAUGCUACUGUUGUAAAACAAUUGGUCACUUUACAGCUAAUUGUUGGUCAAACAAGGAAAGGAAAUCAGAAGAAGCAAACAUAGUCAUAGUUGAAUUUGAUGAUGAACAUGUGUUAUUUAUGGCUUAUGAAUUUGAUGGUGGAUAUUUGGUAGACUGGUGGUGUAUGGACAUUAACUGCUCAAAUCACCUAACUGGAAACAAGCAAUGUCUGAAUAAUUUUGACUCUAAAAAGCGGACAAAAAUCAGAUGUGUUAAUGAUAAGUAUCUGAAUGCUGAAGGAAUGGGAAAUAUCAGGGUCAGAGUGAAGAAUGACAAAACUGUUAUGAUCAAGGAUGUUUAGUAAUGUUCUUGGGAUAAAUAGAAAUAUGAUUAAUGUAGGUAAGCUAAUUGAAAAAGGUAUCUUAGUUACUAUGAAGGGCAUUCUCUUGAAAUUGAAUGAUUCUGAUCAGAAGUUGAUUAUGCAGUUUGAACAGGGAAGCAACAGAAUAUUCAAGGUGAAUGUUGAAACAACUUAAACUAAAUGCAUUUGUGUAGAAAGUGUUGAAGGUUAUAGUGAGUUAUGACAUAAGAGACUGGGGUAUCUGAACUUUAGAAGUGAUGUGUCAGAGUUAUGUGUCGGAGUGAUGUGUCUCUCCGGCAUCGAAUUUGGGGUAAUUUUUUUGCCUUCUUUCCUUUAUCUUCUUUGUUUCGGUUGUGUAAUUUUGAAUUGAGUACCUCUUGUGACUUUUAAUUCAUCAUUUUGCUUAAAAAAAUCAAUAUAUUAAAAUAUUAAGAAUAACAAGUAGCCUAGAAUGACCCAUUUAAAAAAUUCUAUACAAUAAUUAUUUAAAUGUUAUAAGUCAUUC
rnacentral:lncRNA from 1 species